UCUACGGGAGGCAGCAGUGAGGAAUAUUGGUCAAUGGGCGGAAGCCUGAACCAGCCAAGUAGCGUGCAGGAUGACGGCCCUACGGGUUGUAAACUGCUUUUAUACGGGAAUAACGCGCCUUACGUGUAGGGCUUUGCAUGUACCGUAUGAAUAAGGACCGGCUAAUUCCGUGCCAGCAACCGCGGUAAUACGGAAGGUCCGGGCGUUAUCCGGAUUUAUUGGGUUUAAAGGGAGCGUAGGCCGCAUGUCAAGCGUGCUGUGAAAUGUCCGGGCUCAACCCGGGCCUUGCAGCGCGAACUGGCGUGCUUGAGUCCGCGGAAAGCAGGCGGAAUUCGUGGUGUAGCGGUGAAAUGCUUAGAUAUGACGAAGAACCCCGAUUGCGAAGGCAGCUUGCUGCAGCGGAACUGACGCUGAUGCUCGAAAGCGCGGAUAUCGAACAGGAUUAGAUACCCUUGUAGUC
rnacentral:rRNA from 1 species